rnacentral:rRNA from 1 species
CUUGCACAGGUGCUGCAUGGCUGUCGUCAGCUCGUGUCGUGAGAUGUUCGGUUAAGUCCGCUAACGAGCGCAACCCUCGCUGUGUGUUAUAUGUGUCACACGGGACUGCCGGUCUUAAGCCGGAGGAAGGUGGGGAUGAUGUCAAGUCAGCAUGGCCUUUAUAUCCUGGGCUACACACACGCUACAAUGGCCAGCACAGUAGGUUGCUAAGCCGCGAGGUGGAGCCAAUCCAUAAAGCUGGUCUCAGUUCAGAUUGCAGGCUGCAACCCGCCUGCAUGAAGAUGGAGUUGCUAGUAACCGCAGGUCAGCUAUACUGCGGUGAAUACGUUCCCGGGGCUC